rnacentral:lncRNA from 1 species
CAGCAUUUUUGGCAAGCAUAUGUACAGACCACAGUAGCACAAUGCAGCAGUGUGUGAGGGCAGAUUUGUUACUGGAAUUAGUCAAAUCACAGCAAGGAAAGUGGUCAGGUAUCUUUCCAGGAGCAACUUCAUUAUCUGGGCAUGGGUAUGUACAGCUUGUGGGACCAUAAAAAAACCUCUCAGUAUAAAGGCAAAGAGCUUUCUCCUUCUGGGCAUAGAUGGAGUCAAGAGACUGAAUGAACCAUCCACAUCUUGCUGCAUUGUCUUCCAUUAUCUCUCAGUCUUUACAUCAGAAACACCAGAAGAAAACAUGGUGCAAUGCAGACCCUCCAUGUGCCACAGGCUGCUGGGAAUGACAGGACACAUUCUUCCAGGGCUGCCUGAUGUCUGCUCCAGAAGGAGUCCUCAGACUUACUGA